GCUGGACGGGCCGAGGCCGCAGGUAACGCCCGCCUUGUCCGGCCUAAGGCUCUGCCGCCCUGGUAGAUUUGGUGGAGGAUGUCUCCGGGCCGUUCGGGGGCGAAGUCUCUGGUCAUUAGGAGUGUCUCCGAGUUAUUUGGGGAGGGGCUCUCCCGCGAUCUUGGGGGCGGAGGGGAUCUCUCAGGGUCUUUGUGGGGCCGGAUAUCCCCCGGUCAUUUGAGAGAGGCGUUGUUUCUUCAGGUUACUGGGGGGAGACUGUCUCCCCUGAUUUUGAGGGACAGAGUCUUCUCUGGUCAUUGAGGGGUCUCCCAGGUAUUUUGGCGGUGCAGGAUCUACCCCGGUCGUUGAGGAGGUUUUCUCAGACCUUUGUGGGGGAACGAUCUCCUGGGUCAUUGCUUCCCAGGACAGCGGCGUCCGUGGUGUCCCGGGUUAUUGGGGGUGGGGGGGUUCUCCUUGAGUCUGCGGGUGGAGGAGUCAGCCCACCGCCUCAGGUGCCGUUUACCUGGGGCCGGCAGAUGUGCAGCCAUUUUGAGUGUUGAGUGCCAGUUGGGGCCUGUCAGCUGGUGUACGGUGAGGAAAUCUGCCCACCUUGUUAUCCAAAAAAGUCCCAGAAUGGAUCAGAGGACGCCUUCUUUAAUAGUGAUAAGCGUCGCCGUGGGUGGAGCUUUCAUUUCUUUCACAUUGGCUUAAAGACUGCUUUUGUCUCUUGCAUUCUAAGGGUUUGUAUCAUUUUCCUCAGUUUCCUAUGUUAAGAAAGCUGCACUAGCAGACAAAUGAGGCCAAACGUUGUGAAAACAAAAUGUGGAAAACAGAAAACCCGGUGCUCUUACGUACCAGGGAAACAGAACUAGUUACUGCUUGGAAUGAAACAUUUUGGUAGUUGCACGUAACCCAAGAAUAAAAUAAUAGUUGGAAGAAUGAAAGAAUAGUUUGAAGAAAAAGUACUGAAACUUUUCAAAAGUGGCUAACAGAAAUGUUCCAUUUCACCAGCUUUAUGAUUUUUUUUUAUAAAGCACCAUGAUUACAGUAAUUUUGAUGAAUUCUAGUAUUUAAAGUAUUUGCAUUUUUAGUAGGGUUACAUUUAAGUGACCUCAGAUGCUUAUUUACAUAGGUUGCUGCUGUGGAGCUCGUAUAAUUGCAUCCUGUAGCCUGGUGUUAAGUAUGUGAAGAGAAGUUUCAGGGUGGUGGUGUUACUGUUUUAAGUUUAGCCACUAUCAGAAUUAGAAACCGAGCAAAAUGAAUACUUUAUCAUAUUUGACAUGAAAGGCCAGUUGAUGGCUUAGUGACUUUUUCUUUGGAGAAAAAGUCAGUUGAACUGUUAACUGUUACUCCAAUUGGUUUAUUUGCCUUGUGACUUUAUUUAUUUAUUUUUAAUUUUUUUAACGUUUAUUUAUUUUUGAGACAGAGAGAGAUGGAGCAUGAACGGGGGAGGGUCAGAGAGAGGGAGACACAGAAUCCGAAACAGGCUCCGGGCUCUGAGCUGUCAGCACAAGGGCCCGAUGCGGGGCUCGAACUCACGGACCGCGAGAUGGUGACCUGAGCCGAAGUCGGUGCUCAACCGACUGAGCCAUCCAGGCGCCCCUGCCUUGUGACUUUAGAAUUCACAGGAAUUGUUAGAAAGAAAUCAAAUGCAUGAGAGCCAGCACUAGAGUUGAGAUAAUUGUAAAAACCAGGUCAGCAGAUGUAAUAGAACUUCUGUGCUUCACCAUUUUGUAAGUGACAGACCGGUACAACUGUAUACUAUCCUGGGGUCUGUUGGGCAGCGGAAUGUGGGAGGAAGGAGCAACCGCUGACUGGUGAACCUUAGCCAGUCUCCCUUGCAGAGGGGUGCCAGAGCCUUCUGUAGGCACCAGAGAUGUCACUGGUAUCUAGGCAACAGGGAUGAGCCUGAGCCUCCCUGAGGCCAGCUUACUGAGGUGAAAAUUUUCCAUUGUUGGGAUCAUAAAGAAGAUGCUCUGGGGAAGAAUUUUCCCUUUAGGUGAAGUUAUUGUACCUAGUGAGAUAAUCACCCUAACAAAUUGAGCACUUUGUUUUACAGUGGAUGGUAAGCAGAUGAUUUCUCUUGUGUGAUUACGUUUUUGUUUUUUAAAUAAAUUAUAGGAGCGCCUGGGUGGCGCAGUCGGUUAAGCGUCCGACUUCAGCCAGGUCACGAUCUCGCACUCCGUGAGUUCGAGCCCCGCGUCAGGCUCUGGGCUGAUGGCUCGGAGCCUGUUUCUGAUUCUGUGUCUCCCUCUCUCUCUGCCCCUCCCCCCAUUCAUGCUCUGUCUCUCUCUGUCCCAAAAAUAAAUAAACGUUGAAAAAAAAAAUUAAAAAAAAAAAUAAAUUAUAUUUUUUGCCUACUUGAAUACCAAGUAAUAAAAGUAGCAAGUGGUAUUAGUAUUUUGCAAUAUACUCUGGGAGCAAGAAAAGGUCCUGUUUCCACAAAAUUGAAUUUAUAGUCCACCUCAGAGUUUGGAGGAAGUCUCCUAAGCUUAUGAACAGUUGGUUUGGUCUGUCAUCCAUCACUGGCUUCUGUAGUUACCAACUCCUAGUCCAUCUUGUUCCACGUCACGCUGCCUGUCACUCCCCACCUUAAAAAAAAGCUGACUUUUUUUAGGUGGCAUACCCCUAGAACAUAUUUUAUCCAUAAGUAUUUCAUUGUGUAUCACUAAGAGACAAAGAGCUACCCAUGCUAUCUACAAUGCCAUUUUUUCUGCCUAAAAACCAAUGACAGUACAUUAUUUUUUUCACCCAAAUAUCUGGUUGUGGUCAAAUGUCCCUGAUUUUCCCAUAAUUUUUUUUUUACAGUUGAUUUAUUCAUAUCAGGACCCAAAUAAGAUAUGCACAUUGCAUUUGAUUGAAGUGUCUCUUUUGUUUCUUAAUUUUAUAUAUGCUCAUUCUGUUUUCCUUAUAGUUAUUUUGUUAUUGUUGUUUUUUUAAAUUUUUUUAACAUUUAUUUAUUUUUAAGACAGCGAGCAGAGGAAGGGGCAGAGAGAGAUGGAGACACAGAAUCAGAAGCAGGCUCCAGGCUCCGAGCUGUCAGCACAGAGCCCGACUUGGGGCUCAAACUCAGAAACCAUGAGAUCAUGACCUGAGCUGAAGUGGGAUGCUCAACUGAUUGAGCCACCUAGGUGCCCCUCCUUGUAAUUGUUUGGUUGAAGCAAUUGUCAUUUAUCUUUUAGGAUUUCCCAUACGCUGGCUUUUGCUGAUCACACCCUGUGCUUGAGACCUUUUCACUAUGGUGGCUUGGUUUGAAGGGAUUCUUCGUGUAGAUCUUUUCAGCGAAGAAGUUGGGAAGGCUUUGCCAAAGCUCAUUCAGAACUGAGCCGCAGACCGUGAACUCUGAGGGCUGUCAGGGACCUAAAGGGCCACACAGUGCAAGACCCUCCUCCUCUCUCUCUGUCGUGUGGUCCGAAGGGUAUGUAUGAGACCUAGAUUUCCCAUGUGAAACUGGGAGGAGAUUCUUAACCCAUGGCUUCCAGGGAGGGGGUAGAUGUUCUGCCUCUUUGUCUCUUUACAGACCUUCUCUCACACUGCUCAGGCAGUUCUCACCUAUAGGGGCCCUGACCCAGUGCUCUUCUUUCUUUGCACAUUACUCUUAGAAUGCCUUCUGUCUUCCCUUUGUAGGCUAUUCCCAAAUCUGUUUUCAAAUUAGGUUCACUCAAGCUGCAAAUCCAUUGCUCCCAACUAUCUGCUGAACAUUUUUUCUUGGGUAUUUGACCAUCCCCUUAUAUUUAAGUGUCUGCAGUUCAACUCCGUGAAUUCAUGAACAAAAACAUCCUUGUUCUGAAGUGGGAAGGCUCAAUAUUGGACUCAUUCCUCUAAUUUGAUUCCCUGUAUCAGGAGUUCUGAAGAUAGAGUCCACAGUUGCUCACAUCCCAGACUGUAUGUGAGUUCAGUGAGGAUGUGCAUUUUUCAGGAGAGAGGCCCACACAUCUCAGAUUCUUGAGGGGGCCAGUAACCCCCUAAAGGGUUAAGAACAGUGUGGUACACCUAGUCAUCUACCAAAUCCUGUUUCUCUACUUUCGCCACCCCCUUCUUUAAUUCCCCUGUGUGGGCUGGCCACCAGCCUCCCUAGGUACAUUGGAGAAGGCAGGAGAAUCUGUGCCCUGCUGAGUGCCACUGAAUGUGGGGAGGUCAUUCCAGGUGGGACAGGUGUCUGGAGAAGGCAGCUCUGGUGUUUUGGGAGCCCCAGAACCUGGGGGUUCUCAGGACUCUUUCCUACUCCCUGCCCCUGGGAUGACGGAGGAGAGACCCUUGAGGGAAGGAAGCUUAGGCUGGGAAAGGCUGGAAAGAUCAGCUUGGUCUUGAUCCUUAUGUCCUCCUAGAGGUUGAAGCUUUACUAGGGGUACUCCUGCUAUCAUCUUCUUCUAGCAAACUCUCAGGCUCAGGACUGUGAAGGCGGUGUCGUCUCCUCUUUCACCUUUGGUUUUGACAUCUUAAGAUAACCAGAUACUAAGUUCAUGAGCCCACAAAGUUACCUGAAACAUGUCUAUGGUGUAAAAGUAACAGAGUAGCUUGAGAGCUUUCUAAGCACACAUAGUUUUUCUUUAAAGGCUUAUUUUUCUCCUCUCAAACCUCCUUUUUCACACGUGCUUCUUUUUUUAUGUUUACUUAUUUAUUAUGAGAGAAAGAGCAUGAGUGGAGGAGGGGCAGAGAGGGAGAGAGAGAAUACCAAGCAGGCUCUGCACUGCCCAUGCAGAGCCCGACAUGGGGUUCAAUCCUACAAACUGGGAGAUCAUGACCUGAGCCAGAAUCAAGAGUCAGACACUUAACUGACUGAGACACCCAGGUGCCCUUUCACAUGUGCUUCUAAUGUGUAUAAGAAUUCUAUUUUGUUUACUCCUUAAGCAAGAAUGCAGACAGUAGACCCCAAUAGAUGCUGGUUCUUCUGCCACCGUCCCUCUGCCUAUGUCACUGCAGUAGUGACCUGUGAAACCAGGUUUUCCCUUUUCUCUCUGCCAGUUUAAUUUCCCACAAUCCUUGGUGGCUCACGGACAUUACAGGGCAGAGUGAAACUGGGUGCAACCUCUAUGCUUUGUCCCAGCAAUUCUACUUCUAGGAAUUUUCCUACAGAAAUACUUCCACAAGAGUGCAAAGACAGCUACAAGGACACUCAUUGAAUUAUUAUUGUAAUAAAUAAAUUAGUGUCAGUGGGGAAGUUAAAAAAUGCAUUAUGAUUAUGUGUAAAUAUGCUGUCUUUGAAAGGAAUUCUGUAUGGACAGAUACAUGGCUAAGGCAUAUAGUUUAAUGGGGAAGAAUAGCAAAACAACAAAUGUUGAAUGAUCCUACUUGUGUGAGAAACUGGAGUAGUCAGAAUCAUAGAGACAGUUGAAUGGUGGUUGCCAGGGGCUUGAAGGAAGGGAGACUGGACAGUUAAUUGUUUAAUGGGUACAGAGUUUUAGUUUGGGAAGAUAAAAAGUUUUGGAGAUGGGUGGUGGUGAUGGUUGUAUAAAAUGUGAGUAUACUUGGUGCCACUGAACUGUACCCCCCAAACAGUUUAAAAGGGUGAAUUUUAGGGGUGCCUGGGUGGCUCAGUCGGUUAAGUGUCUGACUUAGGCUCAAAUUCUGAUCUCACAGUCGUGAGUUCAAGCUCUACGUCGAGCUCUGUGCUGACAGCCUGGAACCUGCUUCAGAUUCUGUGUCUUCUUCUCUCUCCCCUGCUUGGAUUCUGUCUCUCUCUCUCUCUCAAAAAUAAUAAACAUUUAAAAAAAAAUUUUUUUAAGGUGAAUGUUCCAUUGUUUCACACAUUUCAUCACAGUUUUUAAAAAGGUGAGAGAAACAGCCAAUUUUACUGGGGGAGAUGGGGGGAAGCAAAGUAAUACAUAUACAGCCUGAUCCUGUUUAUGUAAAGAAUAGAAAAAUGCAUGGAAGAAAAUCUGCAGGAUGAAGAGACUAAUAAUGGUGGUCAUUUUAUCACAUUUACAACCAGUUAAAAAUAUUUAUUUUUUUAAAGGCUAAACAGGAUAUCCUUUGGCACUCCAUUCCUCUGCCUGGCGUUGAAGCCUCCUCUCUUUGCACUCCUUCCAUGAGCACAGGCUUAGUAUAUGCCCUUAUCGCCUCGUACUGUCAAGUCCCUCCUGUGACCUCCAUUUCCCAGUGGACUCUGGAGGAACCGUAGGGCAGUGGGUAGAGAACAGCCCACGUUUGGGGAAUGCACUGCAUGCGAGCCAGGCAGGAGGCUAGAUGUUUUACUCUUGUUCCCACCUCAGAGCACCUCUGUAAAACUGUACCAUGCCUGGUGUACAGAUAAAGACAGGCACCAAGAAGAGGUAACGCACUGUUUUUACCCCAAUAUAAAGCAGGCCUUAACUUUGCCAGGAGAAUUUUUUGAGGGGCGCCUGGGUGGCUCAGUCAGUUAAGCAUCCGACUCUUGGUUUUGGGUCAGGUCAUGAUCUCAUGGUUAGUGAGUCUGAUCCCCGAAUUGGGCUCUGUGUUGACAGUGCGGAGCCUGCUUGGGAUUCAUUCUGUCUAUCUGUCUGUCUGUCUGUCUCUCUCUCUCUCAAAACAAAUAAACUUGAGAAAAUAAAAAUAAAAGAAUUUUUUGAUACAGCCCAAUAAAAAUAAAAGAAUUUUUUGUAUAAACUUAGAGUACUUGGAAAGUUGGCCUCCCUACAAUAUUUAUUGUUUUUAAUUACACAUACACAUUUAGUUAUUAUCUAAACAAAAUGUAUUCCUUUAGAAGUUCUCCUUUUUACCCACAUAUUUCAUGAAUUCUGUUCCAGCUUGUCUGUGUGCAUCUUUGCCAUUCUCAGAGCCACAUUUGGAGGUGCUCUCCUCCUUUUUCAAAAAAAUUUUAAUGUUUAUUUUUGAGAGAGGCAGACAGAGUGUAAGCAGGGGAGGGGCAGAGAGAGAGACAGAGAGAGAGAGAGAGAGACAUAGAAUCCGAAGCAGGCUCUAGGCUCUGAACUGUCAGCACAGAGCCCAACGCAGGGCUCAGACUCAUAAACCAAACCGUGAGAUCAUGACCUGAGCUAAAGUUGGACGCUUAACCGCCUGAACCACCCAAGCGCCCUAGAGGUGCUCUCCUCUUGAACAUUUCCUUCUCACUUCUUAGUGGUAGAGAUGUGACAUUGUUACCGGAACCGCUACCCUGAACUGGUUGUGAUUUCUUGGGUGUGAUCCUGCUACUGUGUUGAUAUAUGUAUAUUUUUCUAAGUAACAGUAUUACAUACCAUAUUAUGCAUCCCAAAAGGAAUGCUGUAUCCUUCAUCCUCAGUGUAGCUCCCCUCCCUACUGGCUCGCUCUUUCUCUCUCUCUCUCUCUCUCUCUCUCUCUCUCUCUCUUUUUUUCUUUUUAAUGCUUAUUUAUUUAUUUAUUAUUUUUUUUAAAUUCUUAUUUAUUUUUGAGAGAGCAUGAACAGGGGAGGGGCAGAAAGAGAGGGAGACGAGGAUUUGAAGCAGGUUGUAUGCUGAGAGCAGAGAGCCCGAUGUAGGGCUCAAACUCACAAACUGUGAGAUCAUGACCUGAGCCAAAGUCAGACGCCACCCAGGUGCCCCCUCACUGGCUCUUCAGUCUUCCUGAAAGUCUUCUUACCUUGGCCUGUUUUAAAGGGCACCACUGCACUGGGUUAAGCUCUGGGGAUGGAGGGAGGAAGCAAGCUCUUCCUGGUGUUGGUUGUGAUGAUAUACCCCACAGGUACUUGCCUUGGGAUCAGGGAGGCUGUAGCACAUUACCAUUUUGCCAUUUUACAUGGGAGGUUGGAGGGGAGAUGAGGACAUCUUUUUACCCAGAAAGUUUGUUGGACCUGACCAUAGUCCACAUCUGGCUCAAGUGCACCUUGGGUUCAUUUUUCUGUUUACAGACAUUUUCUCCAAUCUUUUUCAAGGUUGUGUAUUUGUUUUUAAUGUAAAUUUGCAUAAGUAGGGUUCUCUUCUAAGUGAAAUUACACUAAUUCAAUUUUACAAGUAAGGAUUAAGCUAUGGUGACACAUGAGCAUUAUCAUUAUAUGCUGGCUAAAAGUUAAUAUUCUAGUAACAAAAAGUUUUUGUACUUAAUGCCUCUGAGAUGCCACUUAGUUAAGAUUGAAAUGGUUGGGAGGACGAAAGCUCCUAAAUGUGGUCUUCAGGUCAGAACAGACAGCAAAACAAGCAUGUGGUUAAACAGAAGUCAUGCCUUGGUUUGAUUUUAAAUGUUCAUGAAAUGUAGCUGUUGGUGAAGAUACAUAGCACCUACAGCAUCCUGCCCACAAAAAAAUAGAAGUAACAGCUCCAGCAGCUGCUCAUGGGACCCUCACUAUGCUAAGUCUUUCACCUGUGUUCUUUUUGUUCCUGGGGUAAUCUCAUCCCACUCUGAACUGAAGGAUUUGAGGCUUUGGGUUGUUUUUGAAACCCUUGUGACUUGGAGAUGGAGCUCUAGUACCUGCUGUCAUAAACUCCUUAGGACAGCCGGAAUCAGUCUGGGCCUCUUGGGCUGCUUCUGCUUGCUUUCUGUUGUAGAGAAUUCACAAAACUUUCUUUGCACUGCUGGGUUUGUUUGCUUGUUUUAACUCAUUCUUGUGAAUGUAUUUAACUGAAAGUCAUAAUUGAUCAAAAUGGGAGGUUAUUUAGUUUUGUUCUGUGUAUCCAUCCAUUUAUCUUACUUCAGACACUAAUACAUGUUUUAGAAAUUGAGUGUCAAAUCCCAGGCCAAGGAAGAUUAAAACUUUUCUUUUAAGGAGAUAAGAUGUGUUAGAGACAAAGAAGCAGAACACCUGGCUAGUGUUGCUAUUUCUGCUCCAGACUUUUCUAUCCCUAGCUGCACACUCAGAAAUGAGGGGCCCCAUGGGUUGUGUGAGCUCUGUCUUACUCUUUUGGGGAAUGUAAAAAUCUUGCAUCCCCCUUCAAAGCUUGUUUUAUAAGAAUAGUAGAUUAUUUUUGUUUAACAAGUAUAAAACUCAUGCUAGAUACAAAUUUUUACUGUAACCCUCCUCCCUACCUUUUUUAUCUGGGAUUGAGAUCCCAGGUCUAUACAACUUUGGUAUCUUUGCUAAGGCUGCAGCAACUUUUGUCUUGGGAUUAACCUAGUUCCACGCCUGCCUUCUUUCACUCUGAUGCCCAUUUGUUUAAAAUGUGCUUGAAACUUGGUGUCUGUGGACUGCACCUUUAGCUCAUUCCUCCCCUUUUCAUGAGCAACAAGUGAUGCUCUAUCUCUGGAGUUCUCAGUUUAGCUUCUUUUACAGGGUGCUCUGUGGAGGUGUGUGAACCCAGCACCUGUUGGUUCUCAUGCUAAACAGAAUCAUACUGUUUCCUUGAGAGACUGUCUACAGAGUUACCCAACAAAGGAAGAGGAAGGGUGGAUAUAGAAUACAUGACCAAAG
rnacentral:lncRNA from 1 species